CUGACCGCUGGCGGCGUGCCUAAUACAUGCAAGUCGAGCGAACAGAUGAGGAGCUUGCUCCUCUGACGUUAGCGGCGGACGGGUGAGUAACACGUGGAUAACCUACCUAUAAGACUGGGAUAACUUCGGGAAACCGGAGCUAAUACCGGAUAAUAUAUUGAACCGCAUGGUUCAAUAGUGAAAGACGGUUUUGCUGUCACUUAUAGAUGGAUCCGCGCCGCAUUAGCUAGUUGGUAAGGUAACGGCUUACCAAGGCAACGAUGCGUAGCCGACCUGAGAGGGUGAUCGGCCACACUGGAACUGAGACACGGUCCAGACUCCUACGGGAGGCAGCAGUAGGGAAUCUUCCGCAAUGGGCGAAAGCCUGACGUAGCAACGCCGCGUGAGUGAUGAAGGUCUUCGGAUCGUAAAACUCUGUUAUUAGGGAAGAACAAAUGUGUAAGUAACUAUGCACGUCUUGACGGUACCUAAUCAGAAAGCCACGGCUAACUACGUG
rnacentral:rRNA from 1 species